GACGAACGCUGGCGGCGUGCUUAACACAUGCAAGUCACGGGGGUGUCGCAAGACACAACCGGCGAACGGUGCGUAACACGUGAGCGACCUGCCAUACCUGUGGGGGAUAGCCGGCCCAACGGCCGGGUAAUACCGCAUACGAUCGUUUGGGGGCAUCCCUGGGCGACGAAAGCUCGUAAGAGCGCAGGAUGAGGGGCUCGCGGCCUAUCAGCUAGUUGGCGGGGUAAUGGCCCACCAAGGCGAUGACGGGUAGCUGGUCUGAGAGGAUGGCCAGCCACAUUGGGACUGAGAGACGGCCCAGACUCCUACGGGAGGCAGCAGUGGGGAAUCUUGCGCAAUGGCCGCAAGGCUGACGCAGCGACGCCG
rnacentral:rRNA from 1 species